rnacentral:rRNA from 1 species
GGACGAACGCUGGCGGCGUGGUUAGACAUGCAAGUCGAACGAGAAGCUCCCUUCGGGGAGUGGAGAGUGGCGCACGGGUGAGUAACACGUGAGCAACCUGCCGGGAAGCCCGGGAUAGCCCUCCGAAAGGGGGAUAAUACCGGAUGUGGCACCCUGCGAUUGCGGGGGAAGCUAAAGGAUUAUUCACUUCCCGAGGGGCUCGCGGCCCAUCAGCUUGUUGGUGAGGGUAACGGCCCACCAAGGCGACAACGGGUAGCUGGUCUGAGAGGAUGGUCAGCCACACUGGAACUGAGACACGGCCCAGACACCUACGGGUGGCAGCAGUCGAGAAUCAUUCGCAAUGGGGGAAACCCUGACGAUGCGACGCCGCGUGGAGGAUGAAGGCCUUAGGGUUGUAAACUCCUGUCAAGAGGGAAUAAGCAAGUGAAGGUACCUCUAGAGGAAGGGGCCGGCUAAUUCCGUGCCAGCAGCCCGCGGUAACACGGAAGCCCCGAGCGUUGUUCGGAUUCAUUGGGCGUAAAGGGUGCGUAGGCGGCGCGGAAAGUCCGGCGUGAAAGGCAGGGGCUCAACCUCUGGACUGCGUUGGAUAACUUCCGUGCUUGAGGACUGGAGGGGAGACUGGAAUUCACGGUGUAGCAGUGAAAUGCGUAGAUAUCG